rnacentral:rRNA from 1 species
AACGAACGCUGGCGGCAGGCUUAACACAUGCAAGUCGAGCGCCCUGCAAGGGGAGCGGCAGACGGGUGAGUAACGCGUGGGAAUCUACCCUUUGGUACGGGAUAGCUCCGGGAAACUGGAAUUAAUACCGUAUGUGGCUUUUGAGCGAAAGAUUUAUCGCCAAAGGAUGAGCCCGCGUCCGAUUAGCUAGUUGGUGGGGUAAAGGCCUACCAAGGCGACGAUCGGUAGCUGGUCUAAGAGGAUGAUCAGCCACAUUGGGACUGAGACACGGCCCAAACUCCUACGGGAGGCAGCAGUGGGGAAUAUUGGACAAUGGGCGCAAGCCUGAUCCAGCCAUGCCGCGUGAGUGAUGAAGGUCUUAGGAUUGUAAAGCUCUUUCACCGGGGACGAUAAUGACGGUACCCGGAGAAGAAGCCCCGGCUAACUUCGUGCCAGCCGCCGCCGUAAAAC